AUGCGACAUACAUUUGUCCCUGCUUAUUAUACUCGUGACAUGAUUAAAAAGUUGCAACAUUUAAAACAAGGUAGUGACACCGUAAUGAAAUAUUAUCAUGAUUUACAAACUACCUUGUUGCAUUCCUCUUUAGAAGAAAGUGAAGAAGAUUUUAUGGAUAUAUUUUGGGGAGGAUUAAACCAUGACAUUCAGGAGAUACUUAUUCAUGAAAAGUGUUAUUCUAUGGACCGUUUGUUUCGUCUUGCUUGCAAAGCUGAACAGGAGAUAACAAGACGUGUUGCCCACAAGAUAAACAAGCAGAAGGUGCAAAUCCCAAGAGUUGCGACGGUUGUUCCUUCCACCACUACGCGUACUAUGACAACAACAUCCAUUGUUGAGAGCACUACAUCACCUCCACCAUGUGACGUGUCGCCACCUAGAGUGCCUACAUCAUCUUUGUUGAUCAUAAGAGGUAAUGACAAAGGUACCGAUUUUCCACCUCCACAUGAGUAUGAUGAAUGCCUUGUCAAUUUAAAUGAACCAUGCGAUGAGUUACCCACUACUUUGAUCACACCAGCUAUUUUAGAGGACUAUGUUCAUGAUUUGACUUUGCCAUGUGAUCAAACAAUUUUGAGUGAACCCAUUGAAUUAACUAUUGAUGUGAAAGAACCAUGUGAAUCGGUGAAUAAAUCAGAUUAG
rnacentral:rRNA from 1 species